CAGCAGCCACGGGAAUACGUAGGUGGCAAGCGUUGUCCGGAAUUACUGGGCGUAAAGGGCUCGCAGGCGGUUUCUUAAGUCUGAUGUGAAAGCCCCCGGCUCAACCGGGGAGAGUCAUUGGAAACUGGGAAACUUGAGUGCAGAAGAGGAGAGUGGAAUUCCACGUGUAGCGGUGAAAUGCGUAGAGAUGUGGAGGAACACCAGUGGCGAAGGCGACUCUCUGGUCUGUAACUGACGCUGAGGAGCGAAAGCUAGGGGAGCAAACAGGAUUAGAUACCCGCGUAGUCCCUGUCUCUUAUAC
rnacentral:rRNA from 1 species